rnacentral:lncRNA from 1 species
GUGAUCCCAAGAAGAGAGGACACAUAAGGCCAGCAUCCUCGUUCGAGUUCCGGUGGAAUCCACUCAACAUCUUGAAGGUGAUGACGCCGUAUUCUAAUCCUGAAAAUGUAUGGGACUGCACGGCUUCUGGGACCAAACUCCGACUGUUGGACAGUGCAAGUUUCUAUCUACUGAGCCACAUUGCUGACCCAGGAAUUGAAGUUUUCAAGAAGUAUGGAUGUUUUUAUGUGGAAGGAUUAAAAAAAUAUAGUAUUGAUUGAAAAACAAAGAAAGCUACAGGAUGAAACAGACUAUUGGAUUCCACUGAUUCAAAGAUAAACUCAAAGCUAUUCAAUAGGACUAUAAAGCAUUUGUGAAUUCAUGUAUGUAUAGAAGAAAUAGCAAGAGCAAACAGAAAGAUAGGCAACAAAACUACAACAGUGGUUGCUUCGGCAGUACCAAGGGCACAUUAAGACUGAAAUAUUUGGUUUAUAACUAGAAAUGUGAACACAUUUUAUGUGGUAGAAUAUGGAAGUAUAUUUAAUUUCUA